UUGAUCCUGGCUCAGAAUCAACGCUGGCGGCGUGCCUAACACAUGCAAGUCGAACGCGAAAGUCCCGCAAGGGAUUAGUAGAGUGGCAAACGGGUGAGUUACACGUGGGUGACCUGCCUUCGAGUGGGGGAUAACGUCCCGAAAGGGACUCUAAUACCGCAUGACAUCCUGUCUUUGGAAAGACGGAGAUCAAAGCUGGUGAUCGCAAGACCUGGCGCUUGAAGAGGGGCCCGCGCCUGAUUAGCUAGUUGGUAGGGUAACGGCCUACCAAGGCGACGAUCAGUAUCCGGCCUGAGAGGUCGGACGGACACACUGGGACUGAGACACGGCCCAGACUCCUACGGGAGGCUGCAGUGGGGAAUUGUUCGCAAUGGGCGAAAGCCUGACGACGCAACGCCGUGUGGAGGACGAAGAUCUUCGGGUCGUAAACUCCUGUCGAGUGGGAAGAAUACUUCCUGGGUGAAUAACCCGGGAGGCUGACGGUACCACUAAAGGAAGCUCCGGCUAACUCCGUGCCAGCAGCCGCGGUAAUAAGGU
rnacentral:rRNA from 1 species